rnacentral:rRNA from 1 species
UUCAGCGGCGGACGGGUGAGUAAUGCCUAGGAAUCUGCCCGAUAGUGGGGGACAACGUUUCGAAAGGAACGCUAAUACCGCAUACGUCCUACGGGAGAAAGCAGGGGACCUUCGGGCCUUGCGCUAUCGGAUGAGCCUAGGUCGGAUUAGCUAGUUGGUGGGGUAAAGGCUCACCAAGGCGACGGUCCGUAACUGGUCUGAGAGGAUGAUCAGUCACACUGGAACUGAGACACGGUCCAGACUCCUACGGGAGGCAGCAGUGGGGAAUAUUGGACAAUGGGCGAAAGCCUGAUCCAGCCAUGCCGCGUGUGUGAAGAAGGUCUUCGGAUUGUAAAGCACUUUAAGCUGGGAGGAAGGGCAGUAAGUUAAUACCUUGCUGUUUUGACGUUACCAGCAGAAUAAGCACCGGCUAACUUCGUGCCAGCAGCCGCGGUAAUACGAAGGGUGCAAGCGUUAAUCGGAAUUACUGGGCGUAAAGCGCGCGUAGGUGGUUCAGCAAGUUGGAUGUGAAAGCCCCGGGCUCAACCUGGGAACUGCAUCCAAAACUACUGGGCUAGAGUAUGGUAGAGGGUGGUGGAAUUUCCUGUGUAGCGGUGAAAUGCGUAGAUAUAGGAAGGAACACCAGUGGCGAAGGCGACCACCUGGACUAAUACUGACACUGAGGUGCGAAAGCGUGGGGAGCAAACAGGAUUAGAUACCCUGGUAGUCCACGCCGUAAACGAUGUCAACUAGUUGUUGGGUUCCUUGAGGACUUAGUAACGAAGCUAACGCGAUAAGUUGACCGCCUGGGGAGUACGGCCGCAAGGUUAAAACUCAAAUGAAUUGACGGGGGCCCGCACAAGCGGUGGAGCAUGUGAUUUAAUUCGAAGCAACGCGAAG